UCCCUGAGAUUAGCGGCGGACGGGUGAGUAACACGUGGGUAACCUGCCUGUAAGACUGGGAUAACUUCGGGAAACCGGAGCUAAUACCGGAUAGUUUCUUUUCUCGCAUGAGAGAAGAUGGAAAGAUGGUUCUGCUAUCACUUACAGAUGGACCCGCGGCGCAUUAGCUAGUUGGUGAGGUAACGGCUCACCAAGGCGACGAUGCGUAGCCGACCUGAGAGGGUGAUCGGCCACACUGGGACUGAGACACGGCCCAGACUCCUACGGGAGGCAGCAGUAGGGAAUCUUCCGCAAUGGACGAAAGUCUGACGGAGCAACGCCGCGUGAGCGAAGAAGGCCUUCGGGUCGUAAAGCUCUGUUGUUAGGGAAGAACAAGUACGAGAGUAACUGCUCGUACCUUGACGGUACCUAACCAGAAAGCCACGGCUAACUACGUGCCAGCAGCCGCGGUAAUACGUAGGUGGCAAGCGUUGUCCGGAAUUAUUGGGCGUAAAGCGCGCGCAGGCGGUCCUUUAAGUCUGAUGUGAAAGCCCACGGCUCAACCGUGGAGGGUCAUUGGAAACUGGGGGACUUGAGUGCAGAAGAGGAGAGUGGAAUUCCACGUGUAGCGGUGAAAUGCGUAGAGAUGUGGAGGAACACCAGUGGCGAAGGCG
rnacentral:rRNA from 1 species